UUGUAUCCUGAUAAACAUAAAAGAAAAAAAAUAUUCAUGUGCUGAACAAAUAAUUUCGUCACAUUUUUAUACUCUGUACACUCUGACAUUGCCAACUACUGUAGCGGGUGUGCUCUUAUACACUUUAUUGUAUUGCAGCAAAGAAAAAAACAAGUAUGUUCUUUGACUGAGCUUUCAAGGUUCACAGUAUAUUGUGAUUUUUGACUAAGGAAUCUACCCAUUAAAAGAUGAGUUUUUUUCUUUUAUCGCUCACACACAAAAGUUUGUUUCUACCUUAUUCUGUCUUUUAUGAAUCAGCAGAAUAUGCGUUAUCUUCUAUUUUGGACCAAAUAAAACGCAGAAAAGAAUUUGGGUGUCACGUCAGACUCAGUACAGUCAACGAACUACAAAAAUGGCUGAAGAACUACAUGAGACCGGAAAGACGUACCGCACAGCUGCUGCCUGAAUUUACGUGGCAGGUGGACCCAAUUAUCAGCAAGUAACAGACAGCGGAAGGUUUGUCUUGUUUUGAACCCUUGCUUCGAGCCCUACAAACACCGGGGAAAAAAAGGAACUUUCUGCUGUUGCCGAACCACGAGUAUGUGAGGGGACUGCUGUCGAUUUUUUUAACAGGCUUGCGUGAACAUGAUUGGCUAUUACCGGCAUAUGCUCGUCACCACACGACGCCACGACGGCGCUGAUGGGAUUCGCAAGCGUCUGUUUUUGCGUGCGCCGACAUUUUGGGUGAGUCAAUGAAAACGUCACGACGCACGUGUGAAGGUCAAUUCCGGUGGUCGCUCAAUAAGGAGCGUUAUCUUCACUGAAAAGUUCUUUCUCAAUUUUAUUUUGUCAAGUAGUUGCAAGCUCUUUUCACUGCAGCAUCCCAGCAGUGAAGCUUUUUUUUUUUUGAACAACAACUGGUUGUAAAAUAAUCUGACAAGGUCCUGGAGUUGUUUUAUUGAGUGCGGAGCCCCAACCUUUCACUCUCCAUGUCAUUAUGUCAGCACCAGCCAGACAAACAAUAAAAUGAGCGAGACGCUGCGGCCAUCACACCCUCAAGGGUCUUAAAAUCCCAAUGCCACAAAGGGAGAAAAAAAAUA